UAGAAAUCCUUAAUAACCUUCGCUGCAAAAACCUUGCAGAUUUUAGGUGGUAUAAAGAUACCUUCCUUAUUAAGGUUAUGAUCAGGCCGGAUUGCAAUAAUGACUUCUGGAAAGAACGAUUCAUUAGCGGUCUUCCUCCAUUGUUUGCAGAUAAAGUGCGAACAAAACUUAAGGAUAGAUUCGAAGGUCAAAUUCCUUACAAUAUCCUUACCUAUGGGGACUUAGUAAGUUUCAUUACCACCACCGGUAUAGAACUUUGUACCGAUCUCAAGCUUAAGCAACAACUUAAGCAAAACAGUAAAUAUGGCCUAAGGACUUUCUGCCAUGACUACGGCUUUACUGAUCUCACUGAUCAAAGAAAGCACAAGAAGACUCCUUCCAGGCCUCACAAGAGGACCUACCCUCAUAAGGAACCUUCGCAUAAAAAGCCUUAUAAACCCCGCCGAAAAGCUAAACGGAAAGUCUUCCAAAACCUCCAAAGAUACCUGCUGGACUUGUGGAAGCAAAAACUUUGCAGACUUUAGGUGGUAUAAGGAUACCUUUCUUAUUAAGGUUAUGAUCAGGCCAGACUGCAAUAAUGACUUCUGGAAAGAACGAUUCAUUAGUGGUCUUCCUCCUUUGUUUGCCGAUAAAGUGCGCACAAAACUUAAGGAUAGAUUCGAAGGUCAAAUUCCUUACAAUAUCCUUACCUAUGGAGACUUAGUAAGUUUCAUUACCACCACCGGUAUAGAACUUUGUACCGAUCUCAAGCUUAAGCAACAACUUAAGCAAAACAGUAAAUAUGGCCUAAGGACUUUCUGCCAUGACUACGGCUUUACUGAUCUCACUGAUCAAAGAAAGCACAAGAAGACUCCUUCCAGGCCUCCCAAAAGGACCUACCCUCAUAAGGAACCUUCAAAUAAGAAGUCUUAUAAACCCCGCCGAAAGACUAAACGAAAGUCUUCCAAAACCUCCAAAGAUACCUGCUGGACUUGUGGAAAAACCGGCCAUAGGGCAAAAGAUUGUACAUCUGGUAAAAAGAAAAAGAUCAAUCUACUUGAUCUAACAGAUGAAACCAAAGAAAAGCUUUUUUCCAUUAUGGACGAUUCCUCUGGAGCCUCUGACUCCUACUCUUCCUCUGAAGAUGAUUACAGCGACGAAGAUUUUAUCAACGCCGCUUAUGAGUCUGAUAGUUCCCAAUCCGGGCAAGAUUGUGAGUGCAAUGGCACUUUCUGUACCUGCUCAAAGAAAAUCAUCAAUGUCAUUACCGAUAAACCAAAAGAAAUUUUGUUUGACAUCAUCGAGCAUAUUGAUGACGAAGAGCUUAGGAACAAGUACCUUCAGGAACUCAAACGACUUGUGCUUUCUCACGACGAAGGCACUCCUAAAGCAAAGCCUAUCGUUCAGCCUUUCUCCAUGAAACGAGUUAUGGCCAAAUUUAAUACUCCUUCUGAACCUUCUAUAUCAGAUCUUAAGGGCGAAAUCUCCAAUUUGAAAGGAGAAAUUAAAAGCCUUAAGAACCGACUUAAUCAGGUCGAACUCCAUGUUCUAACGGAACAAGUCUUACAAUCAGCCUCACCAAAGGCCUCUCUUCCUACGUCCCCACCUGCUACGAUCGACCUUCCAACUAAUCAUCCCAGAGAACCAAUUUCUUUUCCCGGUGAAGAAAUCCCUGCUAUUCCCUCUACCUCCAAAACUGUAGCAGCCAUUAAAGCUUACAGUGAACACAUUGCCAUCAAAAUUGUUAUUGACAAAGACUUUGUAAUAAACAAAGUCGCUCUCUUUGACACUGGCGCCGACAGUAACUGUAUUGUCAAAGGCCUGGUUCCAACUCGGUAUCUCCAAAAGAGCACCUCGCGCCUCUACUCCGCUACAGGUGAAAAAAUGAAGAUUAAUUACCAGCUUAAAAAGGCUCAUGUCUGUAACAAUGGCGUAUGCCUAGUUAAUGACUUUGUUAUUACCGAAGAUAUCACAGAGGAUAUCAUUCUGGGAAUACCUUUCAUUAACCAAAUUAGACCUUAUUUGAGUGACUUUGAUGGUAUUCACUCAACGUUGUUAGAUACUGAACUUUUUUUCCCCUUACUUCGCCCGCUCUCCUCUAACGAGCAACAGCGUAUCAAGGAAGACACCGUUUUUAAAAUAAACCGCCUUUCUUCCCACCUACUGUUUCUCAAACAGGACAUCCAGCUCAAACAUAUUGAGCACACUUUAACCACCCCGGAGAUGAUCAAACAGAUCUCUCUACUCCAAAACAAGUUCGAAAAUGAAAUUUGCUCUGAAUUGCCUAACGCAUUUUGGGAACGCAAAAGACAUCUUGUUGAACUUCCCUAUAUCCCUGGAUUUGACGAACAGGAUAUUCCUACAAAAUCCAGACCAAUCCAAAUGAAUCAGGAGAUGAUGGAAAUCUGCAAAACCGAAAUUAACCAUCUCCUAGCCAAAGGCAUUAUUCGUCACUCAAAUUCUCCUUGGAGCUGCUCUGCCUUUUAUGUUAAUAAUAGCGCAGAAAAGGAACGAGGAACUCCUAGACUUGUUAUAAACUACAAGCCCUUGAAUGCUGUCCUAAAAUGGAUCAGACACCCUAUCCCAAACAAAAGGGAUCUCCUCAAACGCACUUACAAAGCCAACCUUUACAGUAAGUUCGAUAUGAAAUCGGGGUUUUGGCAAAUUCAAAUUGCUGAAACUGACAAAUAUAAGACUGUAUUCAACGUCCCUUUCGGGCAUUAUGAAUGGAACGUCUUACUCUUUGGGCUUAAAAAUGCUCCUUCCGAAUUUCAAAAUAUUAUGAAUAAUAUUUUUAAUAAUUAUUCAUACAUGUCUAUAGUCUAUAUUGAUGAUAUUUUAAUCUUUUCUGAAAAUAUUGAUUCGCAUUUCAAGCAUCUUAAUACUUUCUUUAAGAUUGUAAAAUCAAAUGGUUUGGUCAUCAGUGCUAAAAAGAUGAUAGGGUAGGCCUGGCCUGGCCUCGGGCGCAGUUCGGGCGGGGGCCUAGGCUCGGGCGCGGUCCUAGGUCCAGGAGGGGAAGG
rnacentral:lncRNA from 1 species